UACAGAGGAUGCAAGCGUUAUCCGGAAUGAUUGGGCGUAAAGCGUCUGUAGGUGGCUUUUUAAGUCCGCCGUCAAAUCCCAGGGCUCAACUCUGGACAGGCGGUGGAAACUACCAAGCUGGAGUACGGUAGGGGCAGAGGGAAUUUCCGGUGUAGCGGUGAAAUGCGUAGAUAUCGGAAGGAACACCUGUGGCGAAAGCGGCUCACUGGACCAUUACUGACGCUGAUGCACGAAAGCGUGGGGAGCAAACAGG
rnacentral:rRNA from 1 species